rnacentral:rRNA from 1 species
CGUACACUCCUACGGGAGGCAGCAGUGGGGAAUAUUGGACAAUGGGCGCAAGCCUGAUCCAGCCAUGCCGCGUGAGUGAUGAAGGCCCUAGGGUUGUAAAGCUCUUUCACCGGUGAAGAUAAUGAUGGUAACCGGAGAAUAAGCCCCGGCUAACUUCGUGCCAGCAGCCGCGUUAAUACGAAGGGGGCUAGCGUUGUUCGGAUUUACUGGGCGUAAAGCGCACGUAGGCGGACUAUUAAGUCAGGGGUGAAAUCCCGGGGCUCAACCCCGGAACUGCCUUUGAUACUGGUAGUCUUGAGUUCGAGAGAGGUGAGUGGAAUUCCGAGUGUAGAGGUGAAAUUCGUAGAUAUUCGGAGGAACACCAGUGGCGAAGGCGGCUCACUGGCUCGAUACUGACGCUGAGGUGCGAAAGCGUGGGGAGCAAACAGGAUUAGAAACCCCGGUAGUCCCA